rnacentral:rRNA from 1 species
ACUGACCGAUAGUGAACCAGUACCGUGAGGGAAAGGCGAAAAGAACCCCGGCGAGGGGAGUGAAAAAGAACCUGAAACCGUGUACGUACAAGCAGUGGGAGCACAGAGCAAUCUGUGUGACUGCGUACCUUUUGUAUAAUGGGUCAGCGACUUAUAUUCUGUAGCAAGGUUAACCGAAUAGGGGAGCCGAAGGGAAACCGAGUCUUAACUGGGCGUUA